rnacentral:rRNA from 1 species
GAAUUGACGGGCCCCGCACAAGCAGCGGAGCGUGUGGUUUAAUUCGAUGUUACACGAAGAACCUUACCAGGGUUUGACAUGCAAGUGGUAGGAAGCCGAAAGGUGACCGACCCUUCGGGGAGCUUGCACAGGUGCUGCAUGGCUGUCGUCAGCUCGUGUCGUGAGAUGUUCGGUUAAGUCCGCUAACGAGCGCAACCCUCACUGUGUGUUAUAUGUGUCACACGGGACUGCCGGUUUUAAGCCGGAGGAAGGUGGGAUGACGUCAAGUCAGCAUGGCCUUUAUAUCCUGGGCUACACACACGCUACAAUGGUCGGUACAAUAGGUUGCCAAGCCGCGAGGCGGAGCCAAUCCAAAAAAGCCGGCCUCAGUUCAGAUUGUAGGCUGCAACUCGCCUGCAUGAAGAUGGAGUUGCUAGUAACCGCAGGUCAGCAAUACUGCGGUGAAUACGUUCCCGGGUCUU